UGCCCAUAAUUAAUUAUAUAUACUAAAACCCAGUUGAUGAGCACUGUUCAGCAAUACUGAUUUGACCGAAAUGCCCCUCUUUUGAUCACCAUGGCCCGUUGUUUUUUGUGUUCAAUACAGUGAAAUUACGUGUUUACCCUCGUUGUCCACCUGUCGAUCAUCGUGAAGGUUAGCUGAAUUGGGUCUGCUUCGAAACAAACUCCACUUUUGCUUCCAUUUCGUCUUCUCUCUCAGAAACAUUACCCUCUCUCUCUCUCUCUCUCCCCCCUUCCCUCUCUUGCUGCGUUGCGAUCCUCACACCACAAUCUCAUCCUUACAGAUUCGUCCUCUUCGUCUCGAUCCCGAACUCGGAACCACCGCGACCACUAGGGGCCACUGCCGCGUGAAAUUAUGGGCUUCAAUCGUUUUCUAAAACCUUUUGUACUCAUGGUAAGUUAUUCUAGGUUUUAUUCCAUAUUCAGAUCAUCCCCAAUUUCGAAAGUUUAGGAUAUUGGUUUGUUUCCGUGUUGCAUGUUUAACAUUCUUCUGUGUGAUGCUGAGUUGAGGCUUUACGAACUGGAAUCGUUGAGGGUAGGCUUGAAUUUGGCCAAAUUUUGUAGGUAAUCAGGAGUUUUAUUUGGCCAAAUUCAGAGCCGAAGAGUUUUUCAACAUUAAGAUUUAGAUACCCGAGGUUGGUUGAAGGAUUUUGCCUCUGAACUCAAUUCAGGUGCAAAACACCAUAGAGUAUUUAAACAUCAUCGGGGCCUUGGAUGAGAAUGAGAAUCUGACUGUUUUCGGAGGAUGAUUGCACCAUCCACCAAGUUGGAAAAGGAGGUGAAUCUUUGAUAUGGCAGAUCUGGAACUUUUACGUAUUGAUUUUAACCAACUCCUUUUUAGGUGUAAUUUUGGACUUAUUUUGUUUUGAAGUCGACUAUAUUUGUUUUAGCUUCUGAUGAGGUGCAAGGCUUGCUAGGGAAGAUGCAUUUGUCCAAAAAUGUCUGCUUUCAAGUUCUUUUUGCAUUAGAGAUGAAAUAUGUAACAUUACAAUAUAUGUUUCUGAGAUUGAGAAUGUGUUGUAGGCUUUCUACAUUUUAUGAAAAUUAAAAAAAAAUAAUAAUAAUUACCUCAA